rnacentral:tRNA from 1 species
GGGCCCAUAGCUCAGCAUGGUCAGAGCGGCUGGCUCUUAACCAGUAGGUCGAGGGUCCAAAGGCUUUUGUAGUACA